CGCAUCUCCACAGCUUGCGUUCCAUGGACAGGAAGUCGAUGCGUGUCACAUGACUCUGUGGAGCGCUAGCAGUACCUUGCAUUACGGCCGGUAUCUUGGUGACGGAGGUUUGGGUUCCACAGGCGGGAGAUUCAUGCGUGUCACGCGUGACACCUGACAUGUACCUCGUGACAUUGCAGGGCGGUGACGUCACCACCUGAGAGCGUAUUACAUAUAUUGCAUAUCGGGGGCGGAACUUUCUCUAAUGUCGGGAACUGGGUGUCCUGCUUAAAUUGAUAGCAGGCAUCUGUGUAGCCAGUCCAUUGUGACAUUGGCGGAGUGGACAUUCAUGGUGUGCCGUCUUCCACUGACCGCGGAUCCCUUACUGGUAUCACCACAAUCCGAUAGGAAACCGUGGGGAACCGUUACCUGACGGAUUAUCGCCGUGUUUUUUCAUCCGACAUUACAUGGAAUUGUAUUUUGGCGCAUCUUCUGGAAGAAGUGAUUAACACACAUGGUUGCCACUGCUGCAUUUAAUAUCAAUUUCUUAUCUGACUUUACAUUUACACAACAGUGACACAUAAGAAUUACCUCCUGAGGAACCCCUAUUAUAGGGAGAAACGCGUCGAGGUGUCACUUAUACGUACUAGACAGCCCCC